CAAACAUGCCCUUUGAAGCCACCAAAGGCCAUAUUUAAGCUUGCUUCAAGCAGCUCCAGUCUAAUCGUUUUGGCUAUUUGACUACUGGGUAUGUUUAUCUUCUUCUGUAGCCACUAGUAAUAUACAUACAUACAUAUAUAUAUAUAUAUAUAAGAGCUGUGUAUGUAUAUAUUUAUAUAAAAUUUGCAUGUAGCCGGCUUUUGAAACAAGUUACGCGGAGAAAAGAAGGAAGAAGAAGAAGAAGAAGAAAUAGAGCAUACCCAGAAGCCGUAACCAGUCAAUAUUUCAAGAGCUUGAUUUAGUAGCGUCUGCAAAAAUGGUGCUUCAGAGAUUGGAGAUAUGCAUAGAGAUGGUGAGACUGGCAAUAGAUUUCGUCAUCGUUGUGGCUGAAGCUGUGGGAAUUGUGAUUCAGCAGAACAAUCUGCCACAGCUAACCACCCAGCCUUACUCUAAUACUCCCGCCCCCUUUGUUGGCUUUCUUCCAUGAAAUUACCCUUGCAUAUAUACAUACACGUGUGUGUGUGUGUGUGUGUAAGUACGUGUCUCGCCGUCAGCUUGCUCUUUGUAUAUUCAUGGAGUUUGAGGUUGGUAAAAAAUCACAUUACUUUCCCAACUUUUGUCCUUUCCUUUUUUUUUUUUUUUUGGUGAAAUUCAUUUCCAUUCGGGUCUCUCUGUUUCUUGUUUCUUUUGCUUUUUCCAGUUUUGGUAGAUGGGAAUUUUGUUACUUACCGUGAAUGUAUGAUAGUUUUUGGAUGAGCUACAUAUACACACACACACACAUAUAUAUAUAUAUAUAUGGAUGAAUAAUAUGAAUCGAGUUUGAUCUUUUCGUGAAUUACCCAUUACAUCCGAUCAGAACCUCUAUUUCAAAUUAGGGUUCUUCCAUUAACCCGAUGUCUGGAUAAAACCUUUCAUUUCACAAUUCACAUUGAGUUGUAAGCUUAAUUAAUUAAAUUUUCAUGCUUUCUUUCUGGGUUUAUUCGAUUUUUGAGAACCCAGUUUCUGGUUUUUCUAAAUUCAAACUAGAAAAGUGAGAUUUGGAAGGAUGAUUCACGGGAAGCGAGGAGAUACAGAAGAAGAACAAUGAAGUAGCUAGCAGACAGAACUGUAGUACAAGCCAACCAAGGCAUAAGUUCAAUUAUUGGUCUGAGUCAUCCAUGAACAGAGAAAAAAGUUAAUAUUAAUUAGAAUUUCUCAAAUUAAAUGAAUUAUUAACUAAUUAAUUAAUUAAUUAAUUUUCUUAAUUCAAAAUUAUAGAUCUAUAAAAUUAAAACUAUUAUAUAUAUGAUUAUAGUACCAUUUGAUAGAAGCUAAUUAUAUAUAUGAUUUUGAAAAUUAUAUAUAUAUAUAUAUAUAUAUAUAUAUAGUUCAUGGUGGUUAAUCAUGAAUUUAUCAAUUUAAU
rnacentral:lncRNA from 1 species